rnacentral:misc_RNA from 1 species
UUUUACUUUGAGGAUCUGCAAUUGUUGAGAAAAUAAUUGAUGGGUUGUUGUGAUUUUGUGAAAUGUCUAGUCAUUGUAUAAUAAAUUUGGGGUUUGGAUCUGAAAUUUGAAGGAGAACCAAAAAUGGGUAGUUCUGUUCACCUUUCCCUCAUUUCAAUUAGGGACGAGGUAAUUGAGAUUUGUAGUGAAAUAUUAAGCAGUUCAUGGAUCAUUUUGUGACUUGGUAAAACAUAAGGUCUUUUGUUGGCUAUCAUGGUGAAUUUUUAUUUUUUUUAGUUCUCUGUUAUUGGAAAACGAUGAUAAGAUUUAUAUGAUGCAAUUCUUGUGCUUUUAAUAUAUAAUUCUUACUUGUCUUUUUCCCAUUUUCUUUUGUUCCAUAAAGAUAGUGAAAUAUGAG